rnacentral:piRNA from 1 species
UGCCUGGUGCACAAAAUGGAUCUGGUUC